rnacentral:lncRNA from 1 species
UUCCCCUACUUCCCCAAGUUAUAGUCCCACAUCUCCCAGUUACAGUCCCACAUCUCCUAGUUACAGCCCGACCUCUCCAAGUUAUAGCCCAACUUCCCCAAGUUAUAGCCCUACAUCACCCGUAUACAGUCCCACAUCACCUGCAUAUAGUCCCACAUCACCUGCAUAUAGUCCUACCUCGCCAUCAUACAGUCCGACUUCUCCUUCCUACAGCCCGACCUCUCCCUCGUACAGCCCGACUUCUCCUUCAUACAGCCCCACAUCACCAUCGUACAGCCCAACUUCGCCUGCUUAUAGCCCCACUUCCCCAGGUUACAGCCCAACCUCCCCAAGCUAUAGUCCGACCUCCCCAAGCUAUAGUCCGACCUCCCCAAGCUACAAUCCUCAGUCAGCAAAGUACAGUCCAUCGCUGGCAUACUCACCUAGCAGUCCAAGGUUGUCAC